GACGAACGCUGGCGGCGUGCUUAACACAUGCAAGUCGAACGGAAAGGCCCUGCUUUUGUGGGGUGCUCGAGUGGCGAACGGGUGAGUAACACGUGAGUAACCUGCCCUUGACUUUGGGAUAACUUCAGGAAACUGGGGCUAAUACCGGAUAGGAGCUCCUGCUGCAUGGUGGGGGUUGGAAAGUUUCGGCGGUUGGGGAUGGAGUGGCGGCUUAUCAGCUUGUUGGGGGAGUAGUGGCUUACCAAGGCUUUGACGGGUAGGCGGCCUUGGAGGGGGAACGGCGACCUGACGCCUACGGGAGGGCGCAGACUGCAACCGUAGGCAGCAGGGGGAAGUAUGGCGCAGUGGGGCGGAGCCAGAGGCAAAAAUGCCGCGUGCGGAAUGACGGCCUUCGAGUUGAAAACCGCUUUCGCCUGUGCCGAAGAGGGCGUGACGGUAAUGGGUAAAGAAGCACCGGCUAACUACGUG
rnacentral:rRNA from 1 species